UACGGAGGGUGCAAGCGUUAUCCGGAUUCACUGGGUUUAAAGGGCGCGUAGGCGGUCGGACAAGUGGAAGGUGAAAUCCCCAGGCUCAACCUGGGAACUGCCCUCCAAACUGUUUGACUUGAGUCCGGGAGAGGUGAGUGGAAUUCCCAGUGUAGCGGUGAAAUGCGUAGAUAUUGGGAGGAACACCAGUGGCGAAGGUGGCUCACUGGACCGGAACUGACGCUGAGACGCGAAAGCGUGGGGAGCGAACAGG
rnacentral:rRNA from 1 species